rnacentral:rRNA from 1 species
GGUUAAGUGACUAAGCGUACACGGUGGAUGCCUUGGCAGUCAGAGGCGAUGAAGGACGUAUUAACUUGCGAUAAGCGUAGAUUAGGCAGUAAAAGCCACUUGAGUCUACGAUUUCCGAAUGGGGAAACCCACUAGCAUAAGCUAGUAUCGCUGCGUGAAUACAUAGCGCAGCGAGGCGAACUCGGGGAACUGAAACAUCUAAGUACCCGAAGGAAAAGAAAUCAACUGAGAUUCCGAAAGUAGCGGCGAGCGAAAUUGGACUAGCCCUUAAGCUUUAAAUGAUGCAGGUGAACACGCUGGAAAGCGUGGCAAUAAAGGGUGAUAGCCCCGUAACCGACACAUCAUUCUAAGUGAAAACGAGUAAGGCGGGACACGUGAUAUCCUGUUUGAAUAUGGGGGGACCAUCCUCCAAGGCUAAAUACUACUGACUGACCGAUAGUGAACCAGUACCGUGAGGGAAAGGCGAAAAGAACCCCUGUGAGGGGAGUGAAAUAGAACCUGAAACCGUGUACGUACAAGCAGUAGGAGCAGGGCAAUGCCUUGUGACUGCGUACCUUUUGUAUAAUGGGUCAGCGACUUAUAUUCAGUGGCAAGGUUAACCGUAUAGGGGAGCCGUAGGGAAACCGAGUCUUAACUGGGCGCUUCAGUCUCUGGAUAUAGACCCGAAACCGAGUGAUCUAGCCAUGGGCAGGUUGAAGAUUGAGUAACAUCAAUUGGAGGACCGAACCGACUAAUGUUGAAAAAUUAGCGGAUGACUUGUGGCUAGGGGUGAAAGGCCAAUCAAACUCGGAGAUAGCUGGUUCUCCCCGAAAGCUAUUUAGGUAGCGCCUCGGACGAAUACUACUGGGGGUAGAGCACUGUUAAGGCUAGGGGGUCAUCCCGACUUACCAACCCUUUGCAAACUCCGAAUACCAGUAAGUACUAUCCGGGAGACACACGGCGGGUGCUAACGUCCGUCGUGGAGAGGGAAACAACCCAGACCGCCAGCUAAGGUCCCAAAUUACUACUAAGUGGGAAACGAUGUGGGAAGGCUCAGACAGCCAGGAUGUUGGCUUAGAAGCAGCCAUCAUUUAAAGAAAGCGUAAUAGCUCACUGGUCGAGUCGGCCUGCGCGGAAGAUGUAACGGGGCUAAGUAGUAAACCGAAGCUGCGGCUGCAAUCGUAAGAUUGUGGGGUAGGGGAGCGUUCUGUAAGCCGUUGAAGGUGUGUUGUAAAGCAUGCUGGAGGUAUCAGAAGUGCGAAUGCUGACAUGAGUAACGAUAAUGGGGGUGAAAAACCCCCACGCCGGAAGACCAAGGGUUCCUGUCCAACGUUAAUCGGGGCAGGGUAAGUCGACCCCUAAGGCGAGGCUGAAAAGCGUAGUCGAUGGGAAACGGGUUAAUAUUCCCGUACUGCUUAUAAUUGCGAUGGGGGGACGGAGAAGGCUAGGUGGGCCUGGCGACGGUUGUCCAGGUUCAAGUGCGUAGGCUAAGAGACUAGGUAAAUCCGGUUUCUUGUUAGGCUGAGACACGACGUCGAGCACCUACGGGUGUGAAGUCAUUGAUGCCAUGCUUCCAGGAAAAGCCUCUAAGCUUCAGAUUAUAAGCAAUCGUACCCCAAACCGACACAGGUGGUCGGGUAGAGAAUACCAAGGCGCUUGAGAGAACUCGGGUGAAGGAACUAGGCAAAAUGGUACCGUAACUUCGGGAGAAGGUACGCUCUUGGCGGUGAAGUCCCU